AUUGAACGCUGGCGGCAUGCCUUACACAUGCAAGUCGAACGGCAGCACGGGAGCAAUCCUGGUGGCGAGUGGCGAACGGGUGAGUAAUGUAUCGGAACGUACCUUUCAGUGGGGGAUAACGUAGCGAAAGUUACGCUAAUACCGCAUAUUCUGUGAGCAGGAAAGCAGGGGAUCGCAAGACCUUGCGCUGAUUGAGCGGCCGAUAUCAGAUUAGCUAGUUGGUGAGGUAAAGGCUCACCAAGGCGACGAUCUGUAGCGGGUCUGAGAGGAUGAUCCGCCACACUGGAACUGAGACACGGCCCAGACUCCUACGGGAGGCAGCAGUGGGGAAUUUUGGACAAUGGGCGCAAGCCUGAUCCAGCCAUUCCGCGUGCAGGACGAAGGCCU
rnacentral:rRNA from 1 species